UACGAAGGGGGCUAGCGUUGCUCGGAAUCACUGGGCGUAAAGGGUGCGUAGGCGGGUUUUUAAGUCAGAGGUGAAAUCCUGGAGCUCAACUCCAGAACUGCCUUUGAUACUGAGAAUCUUGAGUUCGGGAGAGGUGAGUGGAACUGCGAGUGUAGAGGUGAAAUUCGUAGAUAUUCACAAGAACACCAGUGGCGAAGGCGGCUCACUGGCCCGAUACUGACGCUGAGGCACGAAAGCGUGGGGAGCAAACAGG
rnacentral:rRNA from 1 species